AAAGUCGUAACAAGGUUUCCGUAGGUGAACCUGCGGAAGGAUCAUCACUGAAUGUGGUUUUUCUUUUUCUGUGGAGCGUGAUUUUAUUAUUUUUCUUACAUAACCAAUGAGAAACAACUUUUAACAAUGGAUCUCUUGGCUCUC
rnacentral:misc_RNA from 1 species